CUUCACUGCCUUACUUGAUCAAAAAGUCACUAGAAUGUGUGUCACAUACAGAGCAGAACUCUGUUAGCAGAGUGAUUUCGAUCUAUCCUUCUCUUCUCCCUCUAUGUACAGAGCAGAGAGAUCAGCAUCCAUUUGUUUUGAGAUGGUUCUGCUUCCUCUCCUCUGAGGAAUUCAAGUUUAGUUGAGAGCCCUAGAUGAGUCAGCAAAUACUUUGAGUUUAAGCAGAGCAAAAAAGAAGCUGUAUCUCUUAGAAGAGCCAACACUCGACUCAGAGACCUCAUGAACACCGUCACACAAUCUCGGAAAACAAACUAAUUUAUUGCUUACCUGGGGAAAAGGAGAAUAACUGGCUGUCUCUAUUUUAGCGUGGUGGUCUUCUAGGGCGCCGAAAGAGAUCUCCAGUAGACACUCCUGCCGUACACGUUCCCGUUGAACCACAUGACCCAAGCAUUCCAGAACAAAUAUCAACCCUUGUGCAUGAAGUAGAAACAGUGAUUGGUGAGAUCAUGACCACGGUGCCAGAAGAGGUGAGUACUGUUGACAAUUUUGCAAGAAACAUUGUUUUCUUUCUACUAAACAUAGAAUAAAGACUGAAUUUGAUUGAGAUAUGGUA
rnacentral:lncRNA from 1 species